UAGUCAUAUGCUUGUCUCAAAGAUUAAGCCAUGCAUGUCUAAGUAUAAACCACACUUUGUACGGUGAAACUGCGAAUGGCUCAUUAUAUCAGUUAUUGUUUAUUUGAUGAUACCUUGCCACAUGGAUAACCGUGGUAAUUCUAGAGCUAAUACAUGCACGUCAGGCCCGACUCUUCACGGAAGGGCCGUGUUUAUUAGGUAAAAGCCAACCCGGGGCGACCCGGCCGCUGGUGAUUCAUGAUAACUUUGCGAACCGCAUAUUGCCCUUUCGCGGCGG
rnacentral:rRNA from 1 species